rnacentral:rRNA from 1 species
CAGCGCCACAAGUGGUGAUCAUGUUUAUUGGGCCUAAAGCGUUCGUAGCCGGUUUGAUAAAUCUUCUGUGAAAUCGUCAAGCUCAACUUGACGGCGUGCAGAAGACACUAUCUAACUCGAGACCGGGAGGAGUCAGAGGUAUUCUUGAGGGAGCGGUUAAAUGUGAUAAUCUCAAGAGGAUCACCUAUGGCGAAGGCAUCUGACCAGAACGGUUCUGACGGUGAGGGACGGAGGCUGGGGGAGCGAUCCGGAUUAGAGACCCGAGUAGUCC